GAGGCAGCCGAGUUCCAACCCUUUCUUUCCAAAGUGCACUCACUCUGGAGCUGUGGUUUCCAUUUGUGAAGCUGUUCCCUUUAUGGCUGCGCACAGAUCACCCUUGUCAAAAGGAUUUAUUGAUGUGUCAGUGCAUGUCGUGGAGAAGAUCAUAGUGGGAUGGCUUUGAAGGAUUUAUAAGAAAUCUACGGGCUUUAAUACACUCAGCGGUAAAUAACUAACAAGUACUGCACGUAUUGAUUCUUGUCAUGUGGUCAAUGCAAUCUUUAGCCCACUAAUUGUCAGUAUUGACAAACAGUUCAUGAUCUAAAUGAGCAGCUGGACAUCCGUUCUGAGUGGAACAUUUCCAAAUGGCAUUCUCCUUGCUGUUCUCAGCCUAACGUUCAUGGAGCAGCCUUGCAGCUCGCCUCCUACUCCCUCCUGAUAUAGAGAUGUAAUCCCUGUUUUCUCCUGUCUUCUACAUGAUUUGAUGUCACGAAUAUGAUUAAUGUGCUGCUCAACCUCUUGCCCACAUCACUAAUAACAACGUUAAAGAACAGUGGACCUGUUACUGAAUGCCACUCCAGCAAAUGUCGUCUCUCUGCCCCUCGUUUACAGUUUUUUAUCUCUUUCAGGUCCCAUGGGGGAUAUUCAUUUCUAAGGCCAAUUUGAAUUAAUUUUGCAAUUCAGAUUUCAAGAGACCUGAAGACCCAGAACAAAGGCCUGUUCACGAUCCAAAAGCAGAAAACCUGAUCCUGAGUUGCAAUCUAAAUAAACAUUCAAAAGUAUAUUUUCUUGCUCUAGAAUAAUAACAUAUUUACAUAGCACUUUCUGUGUGUAAGAUGCUGUUCUAAGACCUUUACAUACACUGGUAUUAACUUUUUUAAAUCCUCAAAGCAACCAUGGGAUGAGUAGUAUUAUUUAUCCUCAUUUUACAGAUGAGGAAACUGAGGCACAAAGAGAUUCAGUAACCCAAGGAUUCAAUCAAGGCAGUCUUACUCCAAAAUUUGUAUCAUGCUAUAUUGCCUCUAGGAAACUGCUUACUUGAACUACUUGUAACAACUCAAGUGUUCCGGUUAUCCACUGUUGCAUUAAAAAACUACCCCAAACUUGAUAGCUUAAAACAACCAUUUUAUUAAAUCUCAUGAUUUUGUGGGUGAGUGGCUUAGCUGGGUGAUUCUCUGCUCCGCAUAGGACCAAGUGGAUUCAAACACAGUGGUCUUCAGCUGUGAGCCAGGCUGAUCUGGAGGAUCCCUGAGACUUCACCACCUGCCUGGCCCCUCCUUGGGGACAGAUGGAAGGCUUGUCUCUACCGGCCCCUCUCCUUCACCAUGCAGUCCCAGGGCCUCUCCACAGGGGCCCUUAGCAGCAUAGUCAAAGUUCCCACAGGAUGGCUCAGUGCUCAAAGGGACCAAGGUGAAAACUAUCAGUCCACUUAAGGACCAGGUCUAGAACUGGCACCGCAUCACCUCUGCAGGGCAUUCCUGGUCAAUGCCGCCUGAGGCCAGCCUGAAUUCAAAAACAGGGGUAAUAGACCCCGUCUCUCAGUUGAAGAAUCGUUAACAAAUCUGUGGCCGUCUCAGUCUGCUACCUCAAGUAUUAUAGAAAAGGUUGACUUUCAGGCAGUGGAACUAAAACGCAAUAGUGUGUAUUUUGUUUCUUACUUUUUGUCCUUUCUUAAUUAACAUUAUUUUUUUAGAAAGUAAGGCAGAAGAACAGGAGCCAGGAUUUCUUUCGGGCAUUUUCAUCCACGAUGUCUCACUAAGAGCCUAACUGGGCUAUGCUGAGGCUGUCGCAGUUGGGGGCUUAAGUCCCUGUAUGAAAACAAGUCCCCCCAGGCUCAGAGAGGCUGAGGAACUCGCCCACUCAGACCUUGGGUUUCAAGAAGUAUGUUGUAUAUUUUUUUCUUUUUAACUCAACUGUAGCUUCUUCCUACGAUUUUAUGGGAUCAUUGAUUAGAAUGAAAGAGAAGACACAGUGUGUUGACUAUCGUGUUCAUUUAGCAGCAGCUGACUUGAACUUGGCAUGAACUGGAGGAUGUGAUUUCCCCUCUCAACACCUUUGUUUUCCAUUUGUAACAUGAAUGGUUUGGGCCAGAUGAGUGUUUUCCAAACUGAUGGGCCUUGAAAUCAAGGUAGAAAAGCAAAAACAACAUUUUUUAAAUGAAGUAGUAUAAAAUAAAGAAUAGAAUAUGUCCUAUGCAGGGAGGGGAACAGUGUGAGUCUUUAGUUUAAGUUCUGGUUGCCUAUUUGUGCGUGUGUGUCUGCAUGCAUGUGUGUGUGCAUGUGCAUGUGUGUGAGCUUAUGUGUGUGUGUAUUGGAUAAUACCAUGAAAUGUAUUUCUCACUGUAGAUGAUAGAAAAGUUUGAAAGCCACUGGGUUAGGUGACCUUUUUUGAUUCUUUCCAGAUCAGAAAGAUAUGAUUCUGGGAAUGGUCAUGAUGUCAACUAUAAUUUUGUAUAAAACAGACUACCUAACUUGCUUUGAACAAGACCCUGCAUAAAAUGACUCUCUGUUAAAAUAUACUUGAUACAUUUAUCAAUUCAUGUAUUAUUAUUCAAAAUGAAAAAUCAUUCUCUACAUCAAAUUUUGGUCAAAAGAAAACCCUUUCCCAACACCCAACCUUCUUGCCCUCAGGACAAAAAUCUCUGCACAGCAAAUAUUCCCACGCCCUGGCUCAUACAUUCUGUGUUCAUUUCAAGCAGUAUUUUUUUAAUGAAAUUUUACUACCUUGAAAGCAUUAGGACCAUCCUUCCAAUUUGGAAUGUAACAUGCACAAUUCAAUUUUUAUUAAAUGCAAUGGUGUCUAGAAAUUAAACCUCAAGAGAAUAUUUUAAGACACAAAUGUGAGCGAUAUCCUAUCGAUGGUAAAUUAAUUCAGAGGAUGCAAUCUGCAAAAUUAAAGAAGUGAUUUAGGGAUACAGCGUCAGAUUGGAGACCAGACGAAGAGAAGAAACCAUAGUUUCCUUUUAUACUGAAAUUCCAUGAGGCAACAGCUCUGCAAAUGUUGACAGGCACAUAUUCUGAAGUAUUAAGAGUCCACACGAAUUGUGGAUGACCUUGUGUCUCUGACCCGCUGCAUUCUGUUGGCCAGAAUGUGGGACCCAGUAAUUUUUCUUCUCUCAAAUAUAAAACAAUGCAAACUCUUUCCUGUAUAUUCAGCCAACAACCAAGAUAUAUAUUUUACUCUAAAUGCAAAGGCAUUUUAUUUUGGAAAAUAUUGAUUUCCUAAACUUCUAGAAGUUGGCACUGAAGUAAAUAGUACAUGAGGAGUAAAGUUAAAAUGGGCUUUGGGGAAAAUGUAUGAUCCUGUUUGCUCAAAAAGCUUAGAAAUGAUGUGACAAAUAUCAUCUUGGAUUUUUUUUAAAUUUUCUGAUUUCAAUGUUCACAUAAUAAUAUAUUUAUGGAGCAAUUUACUAUUUUUAAAGCACUUUUUUUCACUCACUUAUUAAAAAGUAUUUAUUGGGUGGCUACUUUGUGCUGGGCCCAGCUCUUGGCAGUGGCGAAACAGACGAGGUCCCCUGGAGCUUCCAGCUUAGCAGAGGGAGAUAGCCAGGAACAAGAAAACACAUAAAGGAGCCAGAUCAUUGCGGACUGUGAUACGC